GGAGAAAAGCAGGGGAUCGCAAGACCUUGCGCUUUUGGAGCGGCCGAUGCCUGAUUAGCUUGUUGGUGAGGUAAAAGCUCACCAAGGCUCCGAUCAGUAGCUGGUCUGAGAGGACGACCAGCCACACUGGGACUGAGACACGGCCCAGACUCCUACGGGAGGCAGCAGUGGGGAAUUUUGGACAAUGGGGGCAACCCUGAUCCAGCCAUGCCGCGUGAGUGAAGAAGGCCUUCGGGUUGUAAAGCUCUUUCAGCCGGAACGAAACGGUCACGGUUAAUACCCGUGACUACUGACGGUACCGGAAGAAGAAGCACCGGCUAACUACGUGCCAGCAGCCGCGGUAAUACGUAGGGUGCGAGCGUUAAUCGGAAUUACUGGGCGUAAAGCGUGCGCAGGCGGUUUUGUAAGUCAGAUGUGAAAUCCCCGGGCUUAACCUGGGAACUGCGUUUGAAACUACAAGGCUAG
rnacentral:rRNA from 1 species